GACGAACGCUGGCGGCGUGCUUAACACAUGCAAGUCGAACGGUAAGGCCCUGCUUUUGUGUGGUGCUCGAGUGGCGAACGGGUGAGUAACACGUGAGUAACCUGCCCUUGACUUUGGGAUAACUGCAGGAAACUGCGGCUAAUACCGGAUACGAGCUGCUGCGGCAUGGUGGGGAGCGGAAAAUUUCGGCGGUCGGGGAUGAGCUCGCGGCUUAUCAGCUUGUUGGUGGGGUAAUGGCUUACCAAGGCGUCGACGGGUAGCCGGCCUGAGAGGGUGACCGGCCACACUGGGACUGAGACACGGCCCAGACUCCUACGGGAGGCAGCAGUGGGGAAUAUUGCACAAUGGGCGGAAGCCUGAUGCAGCAACGCCGCGUGCGGGAUGACGGCCUUCGGGUUGUAAACCGCUUUCGCCUGUGACGAAGCGUGAGUGACGGUACUGGGUAAAGAAGCACCGGCUAACUACGUG
rnacentral:rRNA from 1 species